rnacentral:rRNA from 1 species
UACGGAGGGUGCAAGCGUUGUCCGGAUUUAUUGGGUUUAAAGGGUGCGUAGGCGGGUUAUUAAGUCAGUGGUGAAAGCCUACAGCUUAACUGUAGAAUUGCCAUUGAUACUGAUGAUCUUGAGUAUGAUUGAGGUGGGCGGAAUGUGUCAUGUAGCGGUGAAAUGCUUAGAUAUGACACAGAACACCGAUUGCGAAGGCAGCUCUCUGGGACGGUACUGACGCUGAGACGCGAAAGCGUGGGGAGCGAACAGG